GUUUCCGUAGGUGAACCUGCGGAAGGAUCAUUACAGAGUUCAUGCCCUCACGGGUAGAUCUCCCACCCUUGAAUAUUUAUACCUUAGUUGCUUUGGCAGGCCGUGGAAACACCAUGGGCUCCGGCUUAUGCGUGCCUGCCAGAGGAAACAAACUCUGUUUUCAGUGAUGUCUGAGUACUAUAUUAUAGUUAAAACUUUUAACAACGGAUCUCUUGGUUCUG
rnacentral:misc_RNA from 1 species